rnacentral:rRNA from 1 species
UGGCUCAGGACGAACGCUGGCGGCGUGCUUAAUACAUGCAAGUUGAGCGGAGCUAAUAGUGAGUUACUUAUUAUUAGUCGAGCGGCGGACGGGUGAGUAACGCGUGGGCAAUCUGCCCUCUAGUUUGGGAUAACAGUUCGAAAGGACUGCUAACACCGAAUAAUCUUAAAUUUGGGCAUCUAAAUUUAAGGAAAGUUAACGCUGGAGGAUGAGCCCGCGUCCCAUUAGCUAGUUGGUGAGGUAACGGCCCACCAAGGCAACGAUGGGUAGCCGACCUGAGAGGGUGACCGGCCACACUGGGACUGAGACACGGCCCAGACUCCUACGGGAGGCAGCAGUAGGGAAUUUUCCGCAAUGGAACGAAAGUCUGACGGAGCAACGCCGCGUGAGGGAUGAAGGUUUUCGGAUCGUAAACCUCUGUCCUUGGGGAAGAUAAUGACGGUACCCAAGGAGGAAGCCACGGCUAACUACGUGCCAGCAGCCGC